rnacentral:rRNA from 1 species
GACGCUGGCGGCGUGCCUAAUACAUGCAAGUCGAACGCACAGCGAAAGGUGCUUGCACCUUUCAAGUGAGUGGCGAACGGGUGAGUAACACGUGGACAACCUGCCUCAAGGCUGGGGAUAACAUUUGGAAACAGAUGCUAAUACCGAAUAAAACUUAGUGUCGCAUGACACAAAGUUAAAAGGCGCUUCGGCGUCACCUAGAGAUGGAUCCGCGGUGCAUUAGUUAGUUGGUGGGGUAAAGGCCUACCAAGACAAUGAUGCAUAGCCGAGUUGAGAGACUGAUCGGCCACAUUGGGACUGAGACACGGCCCAAACUCCUACGGGAGGCUGCAGUAGGGAAUCUUCCACAAUGGGCGAAAGCCUGAUGGAGCAACGCCGCGUGUGUGAUGAAGGCUUUCGGGUCGUAAAGCACUGUUGUAUGGGAAGAACAGCUAGAAUAGGAAAUGAUUUUAGUUUGACGGUACCAUACCAGAAAGGGACGGCUAAAUACGUGCCAGCAGCCGCGGUAAUACGUAUGUCCCGAGCGUUAUCCGGAUUUAUUGGGCGUAAAGCGAGCGCAGACGGUUUAUUAAGUCUGAUGUGAAAGCCCGGAGCUCAACUCCGGAAUGGCAUUGGAAACUGGUUAACUUGAGUGCAGUAGAGGUAAGUGGAACUCCAUGUGUAGCGGUGGAAUGCGUAGAUAUAUGGAAGAACACCAGUGGCGAAGGCGGCUUACUGGACUGCAACUGACGUUGAGGCUCGAAAGUGUGGGUAGCAAACAGGAUUAGAUACCCUGGUAGUCCACACCGUAAACGAUGAACACUAGGUGUUAGGAGGUUUCCGCCUCUUAGUGCCGAAGCUAACGCAUUAAGUGUUCCGCCUGGGGAGUACGACCGCAAGGUUGAAACUCAAAGGAAUUGACGGGGACCCGCACAAGCGGUGGAGCAUGUGGUUUAAUUCGAAGCAACGCGAAGAACCUUACCAGGUCUUGACAUCCUUUGAAGCUUUUAGAGAUAGAAGUGUUCUCUUCGGAGACAAAGUGACAGGUGGUGCAUGGUCGUCGUCAGCUCGUGUCGUGAGAUGUUGGGUUAAGUCCCGCAACGAGCGCAACCCUUAUUGUUAGUUGCCAGCAUUCAGAUGGGCACUCUAGCGAGACUGCCGGUGACAAACCGGAGGAAGGCGGGGACGACGUCAGAUCAUCAUGCCCCUUAUGACCUGGGCUACACACGUGCUACAAUGGCGUAUACAACGAGUUGCCAACCCGCGAGGGUGAGCUAAUCUCUUAAAGUACGUCUCAGUUCGGAUUGUAGUCUGCAACUCGACUACAUGAAGUCGGAAUCGCUAGUAAUCGCGGAUCAGCACGCCGCGGUGAAUACGUUCCCGGGUCUUGUACACACCGCCCGUCACACCAUGGGAGUUUGUAAUGCCCAAAGCCGGUGGCCUAACCUUUUAGGAAGGAGCCGUCUAAGGCAGGACAGAUGACUG